rnacentral:rRNA from 1 species
GACGAACGCUGGCGGCGUGCUUAACACAUGCAAGUCGAACGGAAAGGCCCUGCUUUUGUGGGGUGCUCGAGUGGCGAACGGGUGAGUAACACGUGAGUAACCUGCCCUUGACUUUGGGAUAACUUCAGGAAACUGGGGCUAAUACCGGAUAGGAGCUCCUGCUGCAUGGUGGGGGUUGGAAAGUUUCGGCGGUUGGGGAUGGACUCGCGGCUUAUCAGCUUGUUGGUGGGGUAGUGGCUUACCAAGGCUUUGACGGGUAGCCGGCCUGGGAGGGUGACCGGCCACAUUGGGACUGAGAUACGGCCCAGACUCCUACGGGAGGCAGCAGUGGGGAAUAUUGCACAGUGGGCGGGAGCCUGAUGCAGCAGCGCCGCGUGCGGGAUGACGGCCUUCGGGUUGUAAACCGCUUUCGCCUGUGACGAAGCGUGAGUGACGGUACUGGAUAAAGAAGCACCGGCUAACUACGUG